GGUUUGUUAGGCGGGUAGGGGGCUGGAGGUAACAAAAAUACGCGUGAAGAAGCAGUAAUACGUUUCGUUAACCGCCAGCGGGCGGGGCGUGAACGGGAGAGGUGUUCAGGCGGUGCGGAGCUGGUGAUUUGAGAGAAAUCGAGAUGAUGGUUUGUGCCCAGUCACAUCAGGAUGAGGAAUCAGUGUGCAGAGAGCACCGUCUAGAAAUCCAGAUGAUUGAAAUAGGGAUCCCAGCUGCUCAGUAAUGUCUUGAAGCUUUGUGUUCUCUUUCUGAGCAAUCCUCUGGAAAUUAUGGAACCCGGAGAAGAGCCUGCUAAGAAAAAGCAGUCACCUGAUUUCCUCUGAAGAUCACAUGUGAAGAGAAACUAGAGAUGCUGAAUGAAAUACCUGUUACUUAAUGAAAACAAAGAUAAAGAUGGAUAGGAGCUUAGGGCCAACAGAUGAGAAAAUUCCUUGGAGGUGUCAGUUCACUCAGAACAUUUUAAUACAAAUGUCCCCAGCUGAAGCAGCUGCAGGUAAGAGCUAGAAUGGAAAAGAAACUCUCUAACUGAAUUAUUACCCUAGAGCUGUAACAGUGGACGUGUUCAGUGUAAAUACAGAACUAAAACUGAACUGCAUCAUGAGAUGUGCUAAACCCAGCGUGAGUGUUUACUACCAAAACACUUGCAGCGGGGACUGAAAUGCAGGAUCUUUGUCAAGUGAAAGACAGGCCAUUCCUUCCAGACAUUUUCCUCAGUUUUCCUUCCCUGUGAUUCUGUGGAAGAAGACAUGUAUUCUAGGAAAGAAACAGGCUGAAUUAUACAUGUAGGUUAAUUUUUUUCUUUUGUUCCACUGUUCUUAACUAUCAGUUCCCACUUGAGAGCAAGUACUCCAUCAGGCUGGUGUGUUACGCCUUGGGGAGUGUCCCAGGUUCACUCUGUAUUGCUUUUCAGUUACAGGAGCGCAUAGUUCAACUUCAUUAUCUACUCUACAUCUGUUAUUUUGUAUUAAAGCUAUAUUCCUUCCCCCUUCAAGAACAGCAGUCCCAUUAAAAUGACAUUUAAACUGGCUGUUUGCGGCUUAAAAUUUUGUUAGAUAGGGUUAAUAA